UGAAUACGAGAUGCUACGGCGUCGAAGCAGUGUAUGUCAGACUUCCAAGAAAAGCUCGCAAUGUCAUAAAUAAAGAAUGCCUGUACCAUAACCGACACAGGUGGGUAGGUAGAGUAUACUAAGGGGCGCGAGAUAACUCUCUCUAAGGAACUCGGCAAAAUAACUCCGUAACUUCGGGAGAAGGAGUGCCUUCUUUAAGAAGGUUGCAAUAACAAGAUCCAAGCAACUGUUUAUCAAAAACACAGGUCUCCGCUAAGUCGUAAGACGAUGUAUGGGGGCUGACGCCUGCCCAGUGCCAGAAGGUUAAAGAAGCUGGUUAGCAAUAGCGAAGCUGGUGACUGAAGCCCUGGUGAACGGCGGCCGUAACAAUAACGGUCCUAAGGUAGCGAAAUUCCUUGUCGGGUAAGUUCCGACCCGCACGAAAGGCGUAAUGAUUUGGAUACUGUCUCGGAGAGGGACUCGGUGAAAUAGACUUGUCUGUGAAGAUGCGGACUACCUGCACCAGGACAGAAAGACCCUAUGAAGCUUUACUGUAACCUGAAAUUGAAAUUGGACUUUAUUUGCGCAGUAUAGGUGGGAGGCGUUGAAAGUAAUCUUGCGGGAUUAGUGGAGCCAUCAGUGAGAUACCACUCCUAUAAUGUUAGAUUUCUAACUUUGGAUCAUGAUCUGGUCAAAGAACAGUUUCAGGCGGGCAGUUUGACUGGGGCGGUCGCCUCCCAAAUGGUAACGGAGGCGUACAAAGGUUUCCUCUGAACGGGUAGAAAUCGUAUCUAGAGUGUAAAGGCAUAAGGAAGCUUGACUGUGAGACCUACAAGUCGAGCAGGGACGAAAGUCGGUCUUAGUGAUCUGACGGUGCUGAGUGGAAAGGCCGUCACUCAACGGAUAAAAGUUACUCUAGGAUAACAGGCUGAUCUCCCCCAAGAGUUCACAUCGACGGGGAGGUUUGGCACCUCGAUGUCGGCUCAUCGCAUCCUGGGGCGGUAGUACGUCCCAAGGGUUGGGCUGUUCGCCCAUGAAAGCGGUACGCGAGCUGGGUUCAGAACGUCGUGAGACAGUUCGGUCCAUAUCCGGUGUAGGCGUUAGAAUAUUGAGAGGAGCCUUCUCUAGUACGAGAGGACCGAGAAGGACAUACCUCUGGUGUACCAGUUAUCGUGCCAACGGUAAACGCUGGGUAGCUAUGUAUGGAGAGGAUAACCGCUGAAAGCAUCUAAGUGGGAAGCCCACCUCAAGAU
rnacentral:rRNA from 1 species